UGAAUACGAGACGCUACGGCGUCGAAGCAGUCUAUGUCAUACUUCCAAGAAAAGCUUGCACUGUCAUAAACAAAUAAUGCCUGUACCAUAACCGACACAGGUGGGUAGGUAGAGUAUACUAAGGGGCGCGAGAUAACUCUCUCUAAGGAACUCGGCAAAAUGACUCCGUAACUUCGGGAGAAGGAGUGCCUUAUUUAUAAGGUUGCAAUAACAAGAUCCAAGCAACUGUUUAUCAAAAACACAGGUCUCCGCUAAGUCGUAAGACGAUGUAUGGGGGCUGACGCCUGCCCAGUGCCAGAAGGUUAAAGAAGUUGGUUAGCAUUAGCGAAGCUGAUAACUGAAGCCCUGGUGAACGGCGGCCGUAACAAUAACGGUCCUAAGGUAGCGAAAUUCCUUGUCGGGUAAGUUCCGACCCGCACGAAAGGCGUAAUGAUUUGGAUACUGUCUCGGAGAGGGGCUCGGUGAAAUAGACUUGUCUGUGAAGAUGCGGACUACCUGCACCUGGACAGAAAGACCCUAUGAAGCUUUACUGUAACCUGAAAUUGAAAUUGGACUUUAUUUGCGCAGUAUAGGUGGGAGGCGUUGAGAAUAUUCUUGCGGGAAUAUUGGAGCCAUCAGUGAGAUACCACUCUUGUAAUGUUAGAUUUCUAACUUUGGAUCAUUAUCUGGUCAAAGAACAGUUUCAGGCGGGCAGUUUGACUGGGGCGGUCGCCUCCUAAAUGGUAACGGAGGCGCACAAAGGUUUCCUCUGAACGGGUAGAAAUCGUAUCUAGAGUGUAAAGGCAUAAGGAAGCUUGACUGUGAGACCUACAAGUCGAGCAGGGACGAAAGUCGGUCUUAGUGAUCUGACGGUGCUGAGUGGAAAGGCCGUCACUCAACGGAUAAAAGUUACUCUAGGAUAACAGGCUGAUCUCCCCCAAGAGUUCACAUCGACGGGGAGGUUUGGCACCUCGAUGUCGGCUCAUCGCAUCCUGGGGCGGUAGUACGUCCCAAGGGUUGGGCUGUUCGCCCAUGAAAGCGGUACGCGAGCUGGGUUCAGAACGUCGUGAGACAGUUCGGUCCAUAUCCGGUGUAGGCGUUAGAAUAUUGAGAGGAGCCUUCUUUAGUACGAGAGGACCGAGAAGGACAUACCUCUGGUGUACCAGUUAUCGUGCCAACGGUAAACGCUGGGUAGCUAUGUAUGGAGAGGAUAACCGCUGAAAGCAUCUAAGUGGGAAGCCCACCUCAAGAUAAGUA
rnacentral:rRNA from 1 species